GUGGCUCAGUGGAAAGAGCACGGGCUUUGUAGCCCGAGAUCCUGGGUUCGAAUACCAGC
rnacentral:tRNA from 1 species